GCCCAACUGGUGGAAUUGGUAGACACACUAGACUUAGGAUCUAGCGCGCGAGCAUGGGGGUUCAAGUCCCUCGUUGGGCACCA
rnacentral:tRNA from 1 species